rnacentral:lncRNA from 1 species
GCCGGGGCGUCCCCCGCGGGAGCCCGCAGCCACCCGGGACGCGCAUCCAGACGUGGCGCUUCGGACCGGGCACGCUGCGCCCGGGGGCUCGGCGGACCCCGCGUAGCCGCCGCUUCGGAGCUUGUGCGGCGCGGGCUGGCCAGCGGGGCGGCCAGGGCCCGGCCCGCCUCCCCAGCGCCCGCCCGGCUUCUCCCCCUGGCGGUGGGAGCCUCGGCGGCCGCUGGCGACACUAGGCGCACUGAAGCCCGAGCCGAGCCGAGCCCGAGCCGCCGCCGCCGCCGCCGCUGCUGCGCACCGCUCCCGGGCUCCCUCCCAGCGCGCCGGCCGGGGUGUGGGGGGCGGCGGGCCGGAGGGGCGAGGGCGGGCCAGGGGGCGCACACGGGGGUUGGCGCGGAAGACAGGACCCUCAGCCUCGAGGGAGCCCCUAGGUGACCAGGCAAAAUGGCAGUUCCUUCCAGCUGGUCCUCAGAUGGGCACAUCUAUUAGCCUCUGCUCUUGUAAGAAGUUAGCUGCAGAACCCACAUGUGAAUCCUUGUAGGACUCUGGAGAAGAUCAAAUGGGAGCUUAGAUGUGGAAGCUCUUUGGAAACCAAGAAACACUCUGAAAAUGAAAAGGGAUCUCAACUUUUCUCUUCCCGCUCCAGCUGCACUAUGUAUCCGUGCUUGGCUCUCAGUUGUUGGAUUCUCAUGUCUCCUUUUUCACAGUGGCUCAGGUGGAAGAGUAAACUGUUCCUGUUUCUCCAUCUUGACAGGAAGCAGAAGUUCUCCUUAGCUGAUUUUUCUUCUUGCCUUAUACUGGGUUCUUUAACACCAGAACAAAAAUAAAUAAAUAAAAGAAUCUUCCAGAAAUUCAUGAAGAGACUUCAGGUCAGGAAAGCCUGAACUUUCUCAUCCAACACCCGUUCAAGUCGGAGGAUGCUGAUUAAUUCAUGAUGGAAAGGUAUCAAUUUCACAGCCCAGACCUCUACAUUCUUGAAAUGCUCUUCUCAUGGGAGACAUUAAAUAAGCUUUGAAUUAACUUAAGCCCUUAAGUAAAAGUGCCAUCAAAUGAUUUCUCAGAAAUUAUAAAGAAACAAAAGGACCAUAAACAAGAUAAGGUGGCAUGAGGAAACAUUACAAGUACCUUUCAGAGCUGACUGGCAAAGAAACUCCUGAGGUGACGGUUCUACCCCAAUAUUACUUCUUCGAAGAGCAACCUAACUCUUAGGUGGCCUAGAGGGGCAAGACUGGUGUGGCAAAUUGGGAUCAGCAGUGU